CACGGACCUUUCGGGGUGAGUGGCGGACGGGUGAGUAUCGCGUAGGGAUCUAUCCAUGGGUGGGGGAUAACAUCGGGAAACUGGUGCUAAUACCGCAUGAUACCUGAGGGUCAAAGGCGCAAGUCGCCUGUGGAGGAGCCUGCGUUCGAUUAGCUUGUUGGUGGGGUAAAGGCCUACCAAGGCGAUGAUCGAUAGCUGGUCUGAGAGGAUGAUCAGCCACACUGGGACUGAGACACGGCCCAGACUCCUACGGGAGGCAGCAGUGGGGAAUAUUGGACAAUGGGCGAAAGCCUGAUCCAGCAAUGCCGCGUGUGUGAAGAAGGUCUUCGGAUUGUAAAGCACUUUCGACGGGGACGAUGAUGACGGUACCCGUAGAAGAAGCCCCGGCUAACUUCGUGCCAGCAGCCGCGGUAAUACGAAGGGGGCUAGCGUUGCUCGGAAUGACUGGGCGUAAAGGGCGCGUGGGCGGUUUACACAGUCAGAUGUGAAAUUCCAGGGCUUAACCUUGGGGCUGCAUUUGAUA
rnacentral:rRNA from 1 species